GAGUCAGGGCACCCCAGAAUCACCCAUGGCUGUAGCAAAGGAAGACCCUGGGAUGGCUCUGUAUACAGCGACUGUCUCGUAAACUUACUGGGCAGAGGUAACAGGUUAUGCUAAAGCGUUCCUUCAAGCUCCCGGCAUCAAGGGAAAGAAAGAGUUCAGGGCAGAGACCGAGGUCCUCUAAUUACUGUGGUGACUGGCUAGUGGCUGUUGUGAAUAUGACAUUGCACUGAGAAAAUCUGAAAGAACAGAAACCGUGUUCCAAGGAAGAAAUUUGAAUUGGUUCAAUUUUGAGCAGAGCCUCAGAUGUGCAUCAGCAUAGGCAUGUUGGCGUGGAUGCUCAUCCUUUGAGUUAGGCUGCUGCAAGCUGAGAGGUGAUUCCACAUGUCGAGCAAGAGGAGGGAAUCACAUCAGCUGCCCUAUGCUAGAAGUUAUUUUACAAAUUGUAACUUGUAUUCACUUACCUUGUGUUAAACUGAAGCUUUCUCUGCAUUCCUAGAUGCUGGAGUAUCUAGAGACACUCAGUGAGCCAGUGAGAGCAUGAUUCAAGACAGUCGUAAAUGAAGAGAGCUACACUUGACUCGGUCAGAUUUCAAACAUGACACCCUUCUUUCCCCUGUGACAGAAGAAUCACCAUCUUCUGAGCAGCUGUCUCACAGAGUGCUGGAGUCACUUAACUGGAUGAGAUUUCUGGGAGCUGAGACAUAGGUAAUGGCUCUCCCAAACUGACCAAACCAAGGGCAGAAAAAAGAAGACAAAAGAGAGCCGCCAUGUCUAAAUGCAGACUAGGCAUUUGGAAAGUCUGUGAACAGCCUCCUUCUAUGACUGAACCCACAGUACUCCACAUCGCAGAACUGAGAUGAUGAUGUAAGUUAAGUUGAAAGCAAGGAGGUGAUUCUACUCAAUGGUAAAGUGAUGAUGUAAUAAUUACUUGCUGAAUCAGUUCUCUUGGGACUAGCAAGUUGAACUACGCAGAGUUAGGGUGGUUUCUGAAUUGCCUAGACUGAUUUCCACACUAGUCAUGAAUAUUUAUGGAAU